rnacentral:tRNA from 1 species
GGACGUAGCUCAGUUGGUAGAGUGCUUGCCUUGCAUGCAAAAGGCCCUGGGUUCAAUCCCAAGAACCA